rnacentral:ribozyme from 1 species
GGAAACAAGAAUAAAUCAAACCAGAAUAAUGGGUCUCCUGAAUAAUGUGUGCAAGUCCGAGUCUCGAGUGAGCCUGUGAGAAGAGGUGAGAGGAGGGAGUC